rnacentral:rRNA from 1 species
UGGCGGACGGGUGAGUAACGCGUGAGAAUCUGCCUCUAGGUCGGGGACAACAAUUGGAAACGAUUGCUAAUACCCGAUGUGCAGCAAUGUGAAAGAUUUAUUGCCUAGAGAUGAGCUCGCGUCUGAUUAGCUAGUAGGUGUGGUAAUGGCGCACCUAGGCGACGAUCAGUAACUGGUCUGAGAGGAUGACCAGUCACACUGGGACUGAGACACGGCCCAGACUCCUACGGGAGGCAGCAGUGGGGAAUUUUCCGCAAUGGGCGAAAGCCUGACGGAGCAAUACCGCGUGAGGGACGAAGGCUUCUGGGUCGUAAACCUCUUUUCCCUGAGAAGAAGAUCUGACGGUAUCAGGGGAAUCAGCAUCGGCUAACUUCGUGCCAGCAGCCGCGGUAAUACGAGGGAUGCAAGCGUUAUCCGGAAUUAUUGGGCC